rnacentral:rRNA from 1 species
UACGGGGGGGGCAAGCGUUGUUCGGAAUUACUGGGCGUAAAGGGCUCGUAGGCGGCCAACUAAGUCGGAUGUGAAAUCCCCAGGCUUAACCUGGGAACUGCAUCCGAUACUGGAUGGCUUGAAUCCGGGAGAGGGAUGCAGAAUUCCAGGUGUAGCGGUGAAAUGCGUAGAUAUCUGGAGGAACACCGGUGGCGAAGGCGGCAUCCUGGACCGGCAUUGACGCUGAGACGCGAAAGCCAGGGGAGCAAACGGG